rnacentral:rRNA from 1 species
AAUGAACGCUGGCGGCGCGCCUAAUACAUGCAAGUCGAGCGAGAAGACGUAGCAAUACGUUUGUAAAGCGGCGAACGGGUGAGGAAUACAUGGGUAACCUACCCUCGAGUGGGGAAUAACUAGCCGAAAGGUUAGCUAAUACCGCGUACGCUUCUUGGACUUCGGUUCAGGGAGGAAAGCGAUGCCGAGGGUAUCGCGCUCUUGGAUGGGCUCAUGUCCUAUCAGCUUGUUGGUGAGGUAACGGCUCACCAAGGCUUCGACGGUAGCUGGUCUGAGAGGACGAUCAGCCACACUGGCACUGCGACACGGGCCAGACUCCGUACGGGAGGCAGCAAGUAAGGAAUAUUGCGCAAGUGGGACGAAAGCCUGACGCAGCGACGCCGCGGUGGGGGAGU